rnacentral:rRNA from 1 species
GGAUUAGAUACCCUGGUAGUCCACGCCGUAAACGAUGUCUACUUGGAGGUUGUGGCCUUGAGCCGUGGCUUUCGGAGCUAACGCGUUAAGUAGACCGCCUGGGGAGUACGGUCGCAAGAUUAAAACUCAAAUGAAUUGACGGGGGCCCGCACAAGCGGUGGAGCAUGUGGUUUAAUUCGAUGCAACGCGAAGAACCUUAUCUACUCUUGACAUCCUCAGAAGCUUGUAGAGAUACGAGUGUGCCUUCGGGAACUGAGAGACAGGUGCUGCAUGGCUGUCGUCAGCUCGUGCC